GACGAACGCUGGCGGCGUGCUUAACACAUGCAAGUCGAACGAUGAUGCUCAGCUUGCUGGGCGGAUUAGUGGCGAACGGGUGAGUAACACGUGGGUGAUCUGCCCUGCACUUCGGGAUAAGCCUGGGAAACUGGGUCUAAUACCGGAUAUGACCAAGGACUGCAUGGUUUUUGGUGGAAAGGUUUACUGGUGCAGGAUGAGCCCGCGGCCUAUCAGCUUGGUGGUGGGGUAAUGGCCUACCAAGGCGACGACGGGUAGCCGGCCUGAGAGGGCGACCGGCCACACUGGGACUGAGACACGGCCCAGACUCCUACGGGAGGCAGCAGUGGGGAAUCUUGCACAAUGGGCGAAAGCCUGAUGCAGCGACGCCGCGUGAGGGAUGACGGCCUUCGGGUUGUAAACCUCUUUCAGCAGGGACGAAGCGAAAGUGACUGUACCUGCAGAAGGAGCACCGGCUAACUACGUGCCAGCAGCCGCAGUAA
rnacentral:rRNA from 1 species